CCCCCACUCCCCGAAUCCCUCGCUCCCGAUCCCCUUCCUCCCAUAGAGUAAUCGCCACCGCCGACCUCUUCCCUCCCCGUUGGACUCGCGAGAGACUGGCCUCUCCUUCUCUCCUCGCACCCAUGGCUAUAGCUUUCUGACAGUCAACCCCUGUUCCGCCUCCAUCCUCCAUCAAAGAUCUAGAGGCCCAUGCAUGCCCUGAAUCCAAUUGCCCUCUCAUCAAGCCACCAUAAGCGGCAGCUCCUCGUCGAACAUGUCAUUCCGCCGCCGUCGCCGUCAUCCAAUCGACCUUCCCCGUCUACCGCGACCUCGAGCGACCUUCUCCGCAUAUGACGACCUCGAUCUAGCUUGGAGCCGCUUGCCAUCUCAUUUAUUCUUCACCCAGUCCAGGAGGUGCUCGACGCGGGGAGGGCAACGAGCAGGACGGCGCGGCGGCAGCGGCAACGGUCGACAACCUAGUAGUGCAGCGCAGCGGCCGAUGGAUCCGCACGACGAGGCGGUGGCGGUCGGACUAGGCGGACCCGAUGCGCAGGAGUCGCAGGCCGUCAACGACCUAUCCAACGACAUGGGCGCGCCGCUGCUCUGUUCCAAUCCUUGUGAGUUCUGCACCAGGGUAAACAUACAAAUCCUAUCUGCAUUAAUAGUGUCAAGCUUCAUACUAAGAUUUGUCACAUUUAAGAUGAUUGGUAUCUCUGUUUAGUAAGCCAUUUAAGAAAAGGAAAAUACAUCCAAGAAUUGCCUGCAUUUAGGACGAUAAGAUUUUACAAAUGUUCUUCUCCUUGGAACUCUCAAGCCUUGAUUUCAUACAUUCGCAACUCAACGUAUUAUUUUAGUUCAUAUAACAAGGUGCUGACCAUUGGCUGAACAAUGCUGCUGCAGCGAAAUACCAUUUGCUCAUAUAGCUACACAGGUAGCACAUUGGUUUCAAUUGGAUUCUUGAGUUUUCAUGUCGUCUUACAAAGAGCGUUUUUCACUUUUCAAAGAGGAUCAUUUACAUUGGUAGCUGCAGUCCACGUAUAGAUUAAUGGUCCUGCUAUUGAAGUUUGAUUAAUUUUCCUCUUCCAAGUUAUUAUUGGUCCUGUUAUUAACCUCUAAAAAACAUUUCUUCACAUCUCUUUUACUCCCAGAACUUUGGUUCAAGCUCCACUGCAAGUUAAUAGAAGGAAGUUGGGCGCAACAUUGACAUACACAAGUCUGCAGUAAAUUUCUCACUGAUACUGUAAUCUAAAGCCCAUUAUUUCUUCCAUCUUUAUUGAUAUCUGAAACUUAUGUUUUCUUAACGUGUUCUAUGCAUUGUCUGAUUGUUAAUUGACUUAUCAUCCUAUCCUUUUUUUAAAUGAUGGAUAUUUUAAAGUUGAAAGAGCACAUAUUUCGGUGAUUUACGGAUGUAGUGCUUGUGACAGAGUAAUCCUCUUUUGUGGAUCUAACACAAAUAUUUUCCAGGAUUUCUCCGAACCAGGACAACAUUUUUGGAUCAUCACCUGGAAAAUAAAUUUGGCAUAAGCUUACUGACAUAGAGUUGCAGGCAACUUCAGCAGUUCUAUUGGGCUAAUAAAGUAGGGAGUCAUGCUACAUAACGAUACAAAGAAGACACUGAAGGAAGUUUUUUGAAGUGCUUCCAGUUUGUGUGCAUCUUCUUGAAUCAAGUACCAGAACAUUCAUCUUUACCUUCAACUAAAUAUUUUUAUUGAUUACUGUGUCACCUAUUGCAUCAUAAAUUUUCAUUAUUGAGGUGCCGCAAGUAUUAAUGUAGAAUCUGUG